rnacentral:rRNA from 1 species
UGGGGAAUAUUACACAAUGGGCGCAAGCCUGAUGCAGCCAUGCCGCGUGUAUGAAGAAGGCCUUCGGGUUGUAAAGUACUUUCAGCGGGGAGGAAGGGAGUAAAGUUAAUACCUUUGCUCAUUGACGUUACCAGCAGAAGAAGCACCGGCUAACUCCGUGCCAGCAGCCGCGGUACUCCGGAGUGUGCACGCGUUAAUCGGAAUUACUGGGCGUAAAGCGCACGCAGGCGGUUUGUUAAGUCAGAUGUGAACUCCCCGGGCUCAACCUGGGAACUGCAUCUGAUACUGGCAAGCUUGAGUCUCGUAGAGGGGGGUAGAAUUCCAGGUGUAGCGGUGAAAUGCGUAGAGAUCUGGAGGAAUACCGGUGGCGAAGGCUGCCCCCUGGACGAAGACUGACGCUCAGGUGCGAAAGCGUGGGGAGCAAACAGG